GGCCACACCCAUGGCAUAUGGAGGUUCUCAGGCCAGGGGUCUAAUCGGAGCUGUAGCCGCCAGCCUAUGCCAGAGCCACAGCAAUGCAGGAUCCGAUCCGCGUCUGUGACCUACACCAUAGCUCACGGCAACGCUGGAUCCUUAACCUACUGAGUGAGGCCAGGGAUCGAACCUGCAACCCCAUGGUUCCUAGUUUGAUUCAUUAACUACUGAGCCACAAUGGGAGCUCCUAAAGAUGAUUUUAAAUAUAAAGAAAAGGAUAAAUUUUAUAUAAUAUAGCUCUGUAAGAAGGACUGGAAGUAUUUUAUUUUAAAUUUUAAUAGGUUUCAGAAAGCUGAUUUUAGAAGGCUUCUAUCAUAGUCAUUAAAACCGAAUCAACCUGAUACUAUAGUGGGUAAGAUUCAGCUAUCUGGAAAACUGAUUUAUGUUGCAUACCACCUUCCUGAGUAGCGUCAGUUAAAUGAGGUAUGACUAUACAACAAGAGAGAUUGUGGAUGCAAUGGCUUUGGAUAUUUAGCUUUGAAAUGGACUUCAACAGUCUUAGUUAGUUUCCUGCAUCUUACUAGAAAUAUAGAAUGUUCUAUAAUCCAUGAAAUUAAUUAUCUUAAAAAAUGUGAUCCACAAAAUAUACUCCUAUUUUUAAAAAGGUCUAUAUACUCAUCCACUAGUUGUAGCUUUUCCAAAUAGGUUUACAUAUAGAGCAAAGUUAUUAAUCAGGUAAUUUAUUCUGUGCUGCUAUCAAGGAAUAGAGAAUAUAACUGGUAGAUAUAGUGUUAUUUCUUAAAAAAAUAGUUUUUUAAAAAUAAUAUUUCAACUACCAGCGAGGUUCGUGCUAUUGUAAAUUCAUGUUCUCCAUCCUAAAUUGGCUCUCAACACUGAUUGAUAAGAAAAAAAAAAAAACUUUUAGUAUUUCUGUAAUCAUCUCACUUUCCUCAUCUUACAAAAUAUCUAAAUUAACCUCUCAUUUUUUAUUCAUUUUCUGGCUUUAAGUGUUUUUCAGAGUUCUUCCUUCUUUUUGUAUCUCUAAAUGAUAACAAAUACUUUCAUACUGUUAAAAUGUUCAGAAGGCAGCUUAAUUCAGAAAGUGGGCAUUGAAAUCAGAACUACUUUUGUUUAGAUAUCUGUUCUAUUGUUUACCAUCUGGAAAACUGGGGAAAGUUUCUUAAAUUCUCUUAAAUUUUCAUUUUACUUCUAUGUAAAAUAGGCACAGAAGUGGUACCUUAGUUGUAUUAGGAUGUUCUAAGGAUUAAGUUAUGUAACUCAUGUAGAACUCUCAGUAUAGUGCCUGGGAGGUAGUAAGAGAUCCAUAAAUGUUAAUUAUUAUUGUUAAUGCUAUUAUUAUUGUUAAUAAUAUAUUUUAUGGUUAUUAUUAUUUGUAGGUCCUAUUAUUUUUAAGUGCCAAGAUCUUCCAGCUCUGUACCUUCAGUUGAGGUAUCUUUUCUGGGAUUCAGAUGUGUGCCUAUGCCCCACAUCUAGCUUUCCAGAAAACAUCUGCUUAACUCCAUUGUUAUUGCUUACAGCUUUGCUCAAGACUUGGACCAAACUCUGGGGAGAGCAAUGCCAUUCACAUUGCUUGAUAGAAUAGUGAAAAGUCUCUUUCAUAUUCCAGGAACUUUUCAGUUACUAGAAUAGUCCUAUUCCAGCAUUUAACAUCCAGCAUUGUAUAUUUUAAGACUUCUGUCUCAAAGUCUAUUCAAAGCUUUCUCUUUUCUUCAAAGCAUAGCUAGGACUAUCUGUAUCUUCAGCAGCUUGGAUCAGAGUUUCCCCAUCUGCCUCCUUCUAGGUGCUAGCUUCUCUGUUAGGUUCUGGUAGAGAGGAAGGAGAGGAGAAAGGCAAACUUCUUACUGAACUAGGGAUAAAAGCAUUUACUUGUUAACUUAUGGGGGUAUCAGCUCACACUGAUCAUUUUUGUCAUGGGACACAGGACAGUCCUGUUCAGAUUUCUUGGUGAUUCCCUGAUAGUGAGAUACAGCUCUGAUUUGGUAUUUUCCAUCUCCUGCACUCUUAGCUCCCGGCCUAUCCCACAGCAGCACCUUCCUGCUGAGGUUCCUCUUGGGAGAAGUUUGUUCAAGAUAGUUCACACCUAGCUACCUUUUGAAAUGUUCACUUGUUUCAACCUUAAUAGUAAGUGAAGUUUCACUGCUUCCCUCUGUUUAGCCCUGCCUUCUUUCUCUUUUCCUAGCUCAUGGUGACUCAGACUAGUGAGUCUACUGGUUAUAUAGUAUACUACUGAUGGACAAAAUGCUUUUCUCCUUUUCUGAUAGAAAUCCCAAUAUUGAAUAAGUCAUUUUCAUGAAGCUUCCUAUUUCCAGAGGAUUUUGGAAGGAGAAACAUUCUUGCAGGCUUUUGUUGAGAAAGGAAGAAAAUAGUCUUUCUUCUUGGAUGACACUACUUCUGAAAAGGAAAUUCACUUUCUUACCACCAGUCUUCUAUGUGUUUUGGCUGUCAGAGAUGAUGGGCAUUGCAUAUGGAAGAGAAGAUGCUUAGAUUCUUGCCUCUUAUUAGGCUUUGAAGAGAAGUGUCUGGCCCCAAUUGCUAGUGAUCUCUGAGCUUAGAAUGCAAGAAUUUGGGACAUUUUGCAUAUACUUUUGAGUCUUUGUAGCAAUUCCUAGAAAAUAGGACAAAACCUCAUAUGGAUCUGUUACAUUUGACUAAAAAUGAUCAGUACCAGAGAUCUGGGAUCAUUAUUCUACUGUUCUGAUUUUGUAUCUCCAGUGUCUAAUAUAGUAUCUGCAAAAUAAUAAUAGGAUUUAUUAAAUAUUUGUUGAAUGGAUGAAAAGCCAAAAAUAAUACAUAGAAAACCUGACCUUAAAGUCUGUGGCAUGCAAUACAUAGAGAAGAAACAAUCCUGGAAAUAGGCACCAGAUAAAUUGCUAAUGUCAUCUUAAUACUCUAUAACACUAAAGUUCUCAGAUUGGUUCCUUUGAUACCAUUGUGUUUAUUGUGUGGAUUUCUAUACUUUUAUGCUUUAGUUUCAUUUUCUAUUUAUUAGUUGAAUAAUUACUUUGUGAGAACUGUGGGAAAAAUUUUAAAACUUUAUUGUAUUUCUAGAGAAUUCUGCUGUAAUAUAAUGACUAUGAAAUAAUCUCAAAUCUACUCAGGAUUAGUAAUAGGCACAGUCUAAGAAGUAUUUUUGUUUUGUUCAUUCUUUUCCAGGUCUACUACAUGUCUUUGUUAAAAACACUAGAAUAAGCAUAUGGUGCUAUUCCAGUGCAUUUCAACAAUGUUUAGAAG
rnacentral:lncRNA from 1 species